rnacentral:lncRNA from 1 species
CUGUCACAAGGUUUUCUAAGCUCUCCCCCUCCCCCAGUUGGGACGGGUUGUCUAAAGGGGGCUGGAGUUGGUUAUUUCUCUUCCUGGGUCAGUGAAACUCUGGGUAAUGAGGUAUCGCUUAGGGCAGGUCCUUUUAAGAAAACAGUGCUCUGGUGUGUUUCACACGAUUUUUCCCCCUCCCCUUUUCCUUUUUUUUCUCUGAUAUUUACUGUGGGAAUCUGGCCAAGGCCCUGGAGUCCGACCUCACGACACUUCAGGGACACACCUGUGAGUAGGUGUGUUGCCUGUACUGCCCAGUUCAGGUUUCCUCCCCCUUCAGCUCGUGGGUCUGCUCCUGCAAGCCGGGCUCUGUGUCAGCCUGUCUGCCUCUCAGCCUUGGGGACACAACUUUCCCUCUGCCCUUCGCUCUCUCGAGGAUCAAGAAUGGUGCAGAGGCCUUCUGGUUUGAGUUCUGCACGUAAGGGCCUAGGAGGACUUGCGUCCAGCCAUGGCAAAGCGGUGGAAGCAAAUGUGUCGUUUUCCUCUCAUGACCCUGUGGAACUUUGGGACGGGCAGGAGGAGCAUCGAGGGCCGUGUCCGGGAGGAAGCCCAGCACCUGGUGCGGGUCCUCACACAGACAGAGGGAGCACGUCAACUAUCAAGACGAGGAGUUCCUGAAUCGGACUGGGUUGUUGAAUGAAAACGUUUCCAUAGUAAGCUCUUUCUGGGCCCAGGUCCAGGUCUGAUGCCCCCUGUCUGGAAGACCCCAGGCCUCCAUGGUGUGUUUCCCCACCGCUGGGCUGACAUGUGGAGCGCGUACCUUUCCCUCAUUAACUGCCUGAUGGUUCAGUGUUUACUCAGCACUUGCUAGGCAAAGUGACCUGACUGAGACCAUCCCUCCUGCCCCCCCCAGGAGCCCAUGGACCAUCACAGAACUGCAGGUAAAGUGGCUGGUAUUCAGGGUGACGGUUGGAACCAUUGCUACUUUGGGAGCACAGGUCGCCUGUCUCUAAUCCCUGGACAGAGCCCACCAUGGGACAAAGAAUAAGGGCCUGGUGGCUAACGUGUGUGUGUGUGCGUGUGUUUAUGCACAAGUGGGCCCUGUUUUUACCUUUUCUUCAAGACUACGUCCAAAGCACAACAUCUUAAAAUAUAUUUUCCACUAUGCAAGAUGUUACAACUAUUAACCUCUUUGCCGAUUACAAAUUAGGCAUCAAGUGAAAAUCACUUAGGCAAAAAAAAAAAAAAAAAAAAAGGCAUAAAAUAACCAUUCAUAUACGCCAUAAACAUUCCACCUCCUAAGGACUUAUUAUCCUUUCUAACCCACAUCUGUGUGUGUCUAAUAGAGGACUUAUGAUGAAAUCAUGUAACU